rnacentral:sRNA from 1 species
GAGACAAAAUUGACAUUUGUGAGACAAAAUUGACUUUUGUGAGAAAAAAUUUACAAAAUUGAAUUUUGUCUCACAAAAUUGACUUUUGUCUCACAAAAUUG